rnacentral:rRNA from 1 species
UACGAAGGGGGCUAGCGUUGUUCGGAAUUACUGGGCGUAAAGGGCGCGUAGGCGGUGUGUCAAGUCAGGCGUGAAAGCCCCGGGCUCAACCUGGGAACCGCGCUUGAGACUGGCACGCUAGAGUUCGGGAGAGGAUGGUGGAAUUCCCAGUGUAGAGGUGAAAUUCGUAGAUAUUGGGAAGAACACCGAUGGCGAAGGCAGCCAUCUGGACCGACACUGACGCUGAGGCGCGAAAGCGUGGGGAGCAAACGGG